rnacentral:rRNA from 1 species
CAGUCGCCGCGGUAAUACGUAGGGUGCGAGCGUUAAUCGGAAUUACUGGGCGUAAAGCGUGCGCAGGCGGUUGUGUAAGACAGGUGUGAAAUCCCCGGGCUUAACCUGGGAACUGCGCUUGUGACUGCACAGCUAGAGUAUGGCAGAGGGGGGUGGAAUUCCACGUGUAGCAGUGAAAUGCGUAGAGAUGUGGAGGAACACCGAUGGCGAAGGCAGCCCCCUGGGCCAAUACUGACGCUCAUGCACGAAAGCGUGGGGAGCAAACAGGAUUAGAUACCCCGGUAGUCCUGUCUCUUAUACA